AUGAAAAAGCAAACUAAGAAGCGGGUUCUUGAUGCAAGACUAAGGCUAAAGACUUCCAUUGAUGCCAUGAGGUGGCUAAUGUUUCAAGCAUGUCCCUUCAGAGGAAAUGAUGAGUCUGAGGAUUCCAAGAACCAAGGUAAUUUCAAGGAAAUGAUUAAGCUUUUGGCGUCUUAUAACAAGGAUGUACAUGAAGUUGUACAGAAUGCUCCAAGAAAUGCAAAGUACACCUCAGCAACUAUUCAAAAGGAAAUUGCUAGCAUAUUUGCUGGAAAAGUGAAAACCUCAAUUAAAGAAGAACUUGGUAAUAGCAAAUUCUCUAUCUUGGUUGAUGAAUGUAGAGACGAGUCUAAAAAAGAGCAGAUGGCAGUAGUUCUUCGAUUUGCAAACAUAGAAGGGGUGAUAAGAGAACAUUUUCUUGAUCUUGUUCAUGUUAGAGACACUAGUGCUUUGACUCUCAAGAACACAAUUAUUGCCGUCCUAGUUGAUAAUGGGUUGAAUGUGCAAGAUAUUAGAGGCCAGGGAUAUGACGGGGCAAGCAACAUGAGGGGGGAGUGGAAUGGGCUGAAAGCUCUAAUUCUCAAAGAGUGCCCUUAUGCAUACUAUAUCCAUUGUCUUGCACAUCAACUCCAAUUGGCUCUUGUUGCUGCUUCAAGGGAGGUACAUGAGGUCCAUAAUUUUUUUCAGCAUGCAAAUUUCAUUGUAAAUACAGUUAGUGCAUCUCCCAAACGGAAUGAUGAACUGUUAGAAAAUCAGGCUGCUGAAAUUGCUAGUGAGAUUGAAUUGGGAGAGCUUGACACAGGAAGAGGGGCCAAUCAAAUAGGUUCUUUACAAAGGGCCGGAGACACGAGAUGGAGUUCCCACUACAAAUCUAUCAAAAGUUUGUUAAAGAUGUUUGCCGCAACUGUUACAGUGCUAAGAAGUGUAGCAGCUGAUCGUUCAGCUACAAGGAACUCAAGAGGUGAUGCCGGAGGUGCCUUGAAAAUCCUACUGACAUUUGAUUUUGUGUUCAUUCUACACUUAAUGGAAAGAAUCAUGAAAAUCACAGAUGUCUUGUGUCUCAAACUUCAACAUAAAUCUUUGGACAUUGCAAAUGCAUUAGAUUGUGUUUCUAACACAAAGGUGUUGCUUGGUGAACUAAGAGAAGAUGGAUGGGACAACCUUUUUGAAGAUGUGAAAUCCUUUUGUGUGAAACAUGAGAUUGACAUCCCGGACAUGGAUCAAAAGUAUGUUGAUGUGACGAAAUCUCGAAAUAAACAUGACAACACCACAGUUAUCCAUCAUUACAAAGUAGAUGUGUUUAAUGUUGCAAUAGAUCAACAAGUGAUAGAGUUGAAUGAUCGAUUUAGUUCUCAUGUUACUGAGCUUCUAGAUCUUUGUUCAUCAUUGGACCCGAGGCAUGAUGCCUUCAGCAAGUCAAAGAUAUGCAGACUAGUGGAGAAAUUCUAUCCUGCAGAUUUUUCUAGUCAAGAAAGAGAUCGGUUGGAGUGCGAGCUACCACAUUUCCAGCUUGAUACAUUCAACCAUCCAGAGAUCAAGAACUGCAAAUCACUUGCUGAUCUAACAAAAGGGAUAGUUAAGACUGGCAAGUCUUCUGACUAUCCAAUGGUUGAGAGGCUGUUACGAUUGGUGAUAACUCUUCCGGUUUCAACUGCAACAGCAGAGCGAGCCUUUUCUGCAAUGAAACUAGUCAAGACGCGGCUUCGAAGCAAAAUGGGAGAUGGUUUUCUUUGUCAUUGCACGCUAGUUUACAUUGAGAAGGAACUUGCAGCCAAGUUUAGCUCUGAAGAAAUAAUUGAUAUCUUCGAUACUGGUGCUCGUAAAGCAGAAUUCAAAUUGAUAGAAAUGUAA
rnacentral:rRNA from 1 species